rnacentral:lncRNA from 1 species
GCAACUCUUCUGCAGUCUAGUUACCGUUGCUCCACCUGCCGAUCUGUACUCUACUGGUCUCCCGUGCACGUGCCCAAAAACGGUGUCAACAUGUAUGUUGAUGAUGGUGAUAACAAUGGUGAAAGUCUAAUUCUACUUGUGCUCUUUUGAGGGGAUACAUACCUUUCUUGCUCUUUUGAAACUUUUUGAGGAGAAUGAGAUGCUCUAUAUUUUCUUUUUCUUUUCUCUCAAGUGGGUAUCUUGUACCCCUAAUUCUACUGUCGGACACUUGUCCAUUUUUACCUCUCGUCUCACUUUUUCUUUCUUUCGAGGUUCCGGGCACUUGCCCCUUUUUAUUUCCUCGUAUUUCUUUUUUUAUUAGAGCACUCAUCUCCUGAAAUAAUAUAGCAAGUGGUAGUAACCAAGAUAACUUGAGCAUUUAUUUCACAGGGGAAAAAAGAAAUAGGAGAAUGUUUUUGGCUAUUCUCUCUCGGAUUAGGAGUGGAAUAUUUUUGAGUGGUUCUGGAGAUGGAAAUGGGUGGAUAUAUGUGGAUGCG